ensembl:lncRNA
GCCACCCCAGAUCUGAUAGGUAGUUGGUCAAGUUCGUCAACACAAGAAAUAAGAGAAAUGCUGUCAAUCAAUGAUGACCGCUGAUCAACUGAUUUAGGGUCAGUUUUACAUUUUUAACUAACACAGUAAUGGUCGUGCUGAGGCUGUGAGAGCUGAUUUCUGCUCGGCGGACAUUUAGCUAUGCAGGUCAGGUGACCCAUGAGAUGAGCGCGCUGCACAUGCUGCUGGUCCGUGAAACAGGAGGACGACGACGGUCACAGUGACAACGUGAACAAUAUAAAAACGAUAAAGACGCUGAAAUCUGUCGUUGAGAGGAUUCGAACCUGCGCGGGAAGAUCCCAAUGGAUUUCUAGUCCAUCGCCUUCGUCCACCACUCGGCCAAAGCACGGGCAUAAAGGGCAGCUUGAAGGGGCGAAAAGGGGGAUAGAGGGAAGAAGAGAAAAGAAAAAGAGGAGAAAAUGAUUGACAACAGGAUUUGCACCUGGAGUCUCCCACCCCAAGGAUGGACGUGUUACUAUUACACCACAAGAGUUGUUAUUUUUGUAGUUGUUUUUAUUUUUGCAAAUAGUUGCAUAAGCAACUAUUCUGUUUGUUUUUUUUUGCAAAUAGUUGCAACGGCAACUAAUUAUUAUUAUUUUUUGCAACAGCAAAUAUACUUAUUUUUCAACAGUGAACGUUAACAUAUUUUCUGAUAAGAAAUAAAAAAAAUUACAAUAAAAAA